rnacentral:tRNA from 1 species
UCCCAGGUGGCUCAGUGGCAAAGAAUCUGCCUGCAGUGCAGAAGACACAGGUUGGAUCCCUGGGUUGGGAA